AUUGAACGCUGGCGGCAUGCUUUACACAUGCAAGUCGAACGGCAGCGGGGAGGAGCUUGCUUCUCUGCCGGCGAGUGGCGAACGGGUGAGUAAUACAUCGGAACGUGUCGAGAAGAGGGGGAUAACCACCCGAAAGGGUGGCUAAUACCGCAUAAAUUCUGAGGAAGAAAGCUGGGGACCUAGGAAUAGGCCUAGCGCUUUUUGAGCGGCCGAUGUCGGAUUAGCUAGUUGGUGAGGUAAAGGCUCACCAAGGCGAAGAUCUGUAGCGGGUCUGAGAGGAUGAUCCGCCACCCUGGGACUGAGACACGGCCCAGACUCCUACGGGAGGCAGCAGUGGGGAAUUUUGGACAAUGGGGGCAACCCUGAUCCAGCCAUGCCGCGUGUAUGAAGAAGGCCUUAGGGUUGUAAAGUACUUUUGUUAGGGAAGAAAAGUCAGCUGUGAAUAAUGGCUGAUACUGACGGUACCUAAAGAAUAAGCACCGGCUAACUACGUG
rnacentral:rRNA from 1 species